rnacentral:misc_RNA from 1 species
CAACUUCCGGUUAAAAAUGAAAGUUUUAAAACUUUUGAUCCGUUUCGAUUAUUCGACUAAUCUGAGUUAACAUAUUAUAUUGUAGACCUAAGUAUGAUGUGCAGUUAGGGACAACAGGAGGGUUGGAGGAUGUCUGAUUCCAUAACAAGUGACUCAAGCAUCCAAGAAGACAUUCCUGACAACCACCAAUCAGCAAGAAGUGAGAACUACCUGAGUAGUUACUACCAGGAGAGUUUUGAGUCAGCAUCCACACUUAGCAUCAGCAGCAGAUUCAACAGUCAGCAGAGUGAUUCAAGCUACAGUCAGGGAGACUUUGAGACAGGGGAUGAAACUUCACUUUCAAUAGAAGAUGACUUUAUCCAAAUGAAAUUAAAACUUUUGAAAAAGAAAGCAAAAACUGAUGACUAUCAUGGCAUUGUAAGUGAUAUGAAAAACAAUGGACUUCAAAGAGCAGCGUGUGAAAAUAUGUCUGAUAUCCCAGAAGCAAGAGACUUCAUUGAAACCAAACUGACCUCAUUGAAGCAAC